rnacentral:rRNA from 1 species
UACGUAGGGUGCAAGCGUUAAUCGGAAUUACUGGGCGUAAAGCGUGCGCAGGCGGCCUCGCAAGUCAGAUGUGAAAUCCCCGAGCUCAACUUGGGAACUGCAUCCGAAACUACGAGGCUAGAGUGUGUCAGAGGGAGGUAGAAUUCCACGUGUAGCAGUGAAAUGCGUAGAUAUGUGGAGGAAUACCAGUGGCGAAGGCGGCCUCCUGGGAUAACACUGACGCUCAUGUACGAAAGCGUGGGGAGCAAACAGG